ACAUGCCUACAACAUAGUGUUAAUGCAUAGAAUCCCAUUAGAACUCCACAGUUAAGCAUGCUCGAGUUAGAGUAGAACUGGGAUGGGUGACCACCCAGAAAUUCCUAGUGUUUUACAUGAC
rnacentral:rRNA from 1 species